GGGCUCCCGGGAACCAGGAGAGAUACUGCCCCGGAAGCUGA
ensembl:snoRNA